rnacentral:lncRNA from 1 species
AGAAGUGACCUUCCUGAGGCAGCUGUUCGGAUACAUGCAGAGCACAGCGCCCUGCUCAGAAAGGAAGGUUCAGAGAACAAAUUGUCGUUUAAAACUAUUGGGACAAACCUACCUCUUCUAAAGCUUAAAAUGGUCUCCAGCGUACCAGGAUUUGUGAAGGCCUGAAGUUCGUAGAAUGAAAUCUAUGUGGAGAUGAUUUAAAAGAACGGUUUCACUGCUAAAAUCCUUUCGAAAUGAGUUCCUUUAAGUUCUUCAGUAACUAAAUCCUCCAGAAAGGAAAGCCGAGAGAAUCUAGUCCUAUACAAUAACACCCUCUAACAAAGAUCGCUAAAGGAAGAUUUUAGUAGAUGAAUAUCUUCAAUAAUACAUGGUCACAUACAUGUAUCUGACCAUAUGAUGGCUCUCUGCACCAAAUUCCUCCAAACUAUUAUAAUAUGUAUUGUCUGUAGUGCUAUUUAUUUGGCAGUUAAUCAUGUAUUACAUUGUGACAUUUCUUACAGUGAACCAUUAUGUAUGUGUUUAUGUUCUGCCCUCAACUACUCAAUGCCAGUACCUUAUUCUUAACACAGCAACCACCCUUUCUGGUCUGUCCUCACACCCUCAUUCCCAUCAUAGUUAUUCUCCUCUCUCAUGGAAAUGUUCAGUUUCUGGACAUCUCCUUUCUCUUCCAUUCUUCACCUGACCUUCCUUCCUUUCUUGGCCAGCCUGAAUAUUAUAAAGGGAAUUUUAUUUCAAACCCAGGAUCGCACUUAAGAGGAAAAGAAACAAAAGCCAGUUCUUUUUAUUGCACAUAGAACAAGGAGAAACUCCACCCCUUUUGUUGUCUGGUAUGUUUAAAACAAGAAAGAACUUUAGAAAAGUAGGAUAUGAGUGAAAAUUACAACCAAUGUUGAGAACUACUUUUUAAUUUUUUAUUACAAAAUUAGGAUGAUACUUCAUUAAACAUUGUACAUCAUUUCAAAACUGUUAUCUCAUAAUCAUGU